GAGCUUUUCGUGUAUCAGGUAGAAUUUAACUGCUGUGUGUAUAUCUUUCCUGCAUGGUGCGUUCAGUGGCAACAAAAUAUGCCUAUACAUGAACAAAUCAUACCUUAUUUAGAGAGGACUGGUUUGUACCACUUGGCCAGGCUAAACAGUCGUUAGUUCUAGUUGGAUGAACCUAUGGUCUGUGCGUUAAUUGAGAGGUGGCGUCUCGAGAUGCACACUUUUUUGUAUGCUUUUUGGAGAGUGCACCAUGACGCUGCAAGAUGUGACGUUUCAGCUUGGGUUGCCUGUUGAUGGAAAAGCCGUUAGUGAGUGUCUGGCAAAGUUUGAAAAAUUCAUAGAGGGUGGCCGACCAGCUUGGGAAUGAUUUCAGGAGUUAUUCGGUGAGCUGCCACCGCCAAAUAAGGUCAAGCAGAUGACAAUCCACUUCACAUGGUUCCAUGAGAGGUUUAGGGUGUUACCAGCAGAUGCGACCGAGGAUAUUGUUCGCAUAUACACACGUGCCUAUAUCAUGGAGUUGUUAUCCACUCAGUUAUUUAGGGACAAGAGUGUGAACCGGGUUCAUAUUCGGUGGUUGCCCUUUUGUGGCGAAUCUUGAUGACAUGGACAGUUAUAGCUGGGAGUCCGCCGCAUUGGCAUAGUUGUAUCGAUACAUGUGUCGGGUGGCGAAUAAAAAUGUUAUCAACUUGGUAGGUCCUCUCCAACUGCUAUAGAGUUGGAUCUUCUGGCGAUUUCCCUCUUUGAAGCCUUCCGGGUGGGCAGCAUACUUACCACCAAAUGUUGGAAAGAAGCAAAGGAUUAUAAACUAUCGUGUUGCAUUAGAUCGAUUGAGCACUCGAGAUAUUGUAUGGGAGCCUUACUCCGGCCUCGACGUACUUGCUGUAGUUCAUCCUGAGAUACUUAUGGAGGAGCAUUGUCGGUUAUGGCGAGCAGUUACCAGCCUGAUAUAUUUUGCCAUCAUUGAGUGGCAUCAAGUUGAUAGGGUGGUCCCAUAGUUUGGCGGUGUGAAACAUGUUCCUGAGGGGGCUUUGAACAUAAACUGGCUGCAUGCUAAGGACGGUAGGGUCAGAGAUAGGUGAUUUCGCCAUUACUAUCAGAUUGGUGGCACCGGGAGGCGCACAGGGUUCUUUUCCCCAGAUCCGCAUUCGCGGAUCCUAGGCACGAGGAGAUACCGGCCGAGGCCUUUCAGAGAGGGUCGUCAUAGGCACCACCAAGAGUACAAGUGCCCGACAUGCCGGACAACAGGCAUGUCAAGAGACGCCAUUGUAUUGGUGCCCUGGACACUGGUCAGGAGUUGCGAUGGUUAAAUGAUAUGAUGCAGGAGGAUGAGGCAAGUGGGGACGGGGGAGGUAUUGGCGAGCACCAUGUUCGUCGGGCCAAUGCUAGAUGUAGGGGGCUGGUGGUGGUACCCAGAUUGGUGGUGGGACUAGUGGAGACACAAAGACUGGGGCUGGGGGUGGGACAUUCACAGUUGGAUCCAGUUCUCAAGCAUUCCACGAUAGUGCACAGAUGCAUGCUGAUCUCGGUACCACUACGAUGACCAUGGACAUAGACGAUCAGAUGGGUAGUUCACAGUUCUACGCAGAGUUCGCGACCAUCAUAGGGAUGAUGACGGACAUCUCCAAGUCCAGGUUGAUGCACCUGCUUACCAUCCGCAGAUGCCGGAUAUCCAGCCCGAUACCCCAGCUUACCAUCCAUAGAUGCCAGAUAUCCAGGUUAAGGCACUAGAGUAUCAGGCACCGGACUAUCAGGCACAGUACAUGGUCGACUUGAACGAGUUUGCAGGUAGCUCGUAUGACACAUGGUUCACCAUGGGCCGAAUGCCCCAAUCUACAUUUGGAGUGGCCCCGCCAACUGACGAGGUAGCACAUGAGCCCCAUCGACCUACUAGAGUGAAGCGUCCUCCCCGAUGUGGCAUAGGUUCUCAUUUACUUGGUGCAUUCGGGGACGAUGAGCAAGAUGAUGGCGAAGAUUAGAUCCUGGUCUUGUGCUGGUUUCAUUAGUUGUUUUCCGCUUAUGUUAUAUAUUUAUGUCCAUGACUGUAUGACUUUAUAUUUAUUUCGGCUGUUAUGUUUUAUACUUAUGUGUUAUGACUGUAUGAUUAUAUAUUUGCA